UCUCUGAUAGUAUAUCGGUUAGUACACGCGCCUGUCAAACUUUGCGGUGGUGCGCGCGAAAGCUGGGUUCGACUCCCAGUCAGAGAG